UACGUAGGUGGCAAGCGUUGUCCGGAUUUAUUGGGUUUAAAGGGUGCGUAGGCGGUCCUAUAAGUCAGUGGUGAAAUACUUCAGCUCAACUGGAGAGGUGCCAUUGAUACUGCAGGACUUGAGUACAGACGAGGUAGGCGGAAUUGACGGUGUAGCGGUGAAAUGCGUAGAUACCGGCAAGAACACCGAUAGCGAAGGCAGCUUACUGGACUGUAACUGACGCUGAGGCACGAAAGUGUGGGGAUCAAACAGG
rnacentral:rRNA from 1 species